AGGAGCUUGCUCCUUUGACGUUAGCGGCGGACGGGUGAGUAACACGUGGAUAACCUACCUAUAAGACUGGGAUAACUUCGGGAAACCGGAGCUAAUACCGGAUAACAUAUUGAACCGCAUGGUUCAAUAGUGAAAGGCGGCUUUGCUGUCACUUAUAGAUGGAUCCGCGCCGUAUUAGCUAGUUGGUAAGGUAACGGCUUACCAAGGCAACGAUACGUAGCCGACCUGAGAGGGUGAUCGGCCACACUGGAACUGAGACACGGUCCAGACUCCUACGGGAGGCAGCAGUAGGGAAUCUUCCGCAAUGGGCGAAAGCCUGACGGAGCAACGCCGCGUGAGUGAUGAAGGUCUUCGGAUCGUAAAACUCUGUUAUCAGGGAAGAACAAAUGUGUAAGUAACUGUGCACAUCUUGACGGUACCUGAUCAGAAAGCCACGGCUAACUACGUGCCAGCAGCCGCGGUAAUACGUAGGUGGCAAGCGUUAUCCGGAAUUAUUGGGCGUAAAGCGCGCGUAGGCGGUUUUUUAAGUCUGAUGUGAAAGCCCACGGCUCAACCGUGGAGGGUCAUUGGAAACUGGAAAACUUGAGUGCAGAAGAGGAAAGUGGAAUUCCAUGUGUAGCGGUGAAAUGCGCAGAGAUAUGGAGGAACACCAGUGGCGAAGGCGACUUUCUGGUCUGUAACUGACGCUGAUGUGCGAAAGCGUGGGGAUCAAACAGGAUUAGAUACCCUGGUAGUCCACGCCGUAAACGAUGAGUGCUAAGUGUUAGGGGGUUUCCGCCCCUUAGUGCUGCAGCUAACGCAUUAAGCACUCCGCCUGGGGAGUACGACCGCAAGGUUGAAACUCAAAGGAAUUGACGGGGACCCGCACAAGCGGUGGAGCAUGUGGUUUAAUUCGAAGCAACGCGAAGAACCUUACCAAAUCUUGACAUCCUUUGACCGCUCUAGAGAUAGAGUCUUCCCCUUCGGGGGACAAAGUGACAGGUGGUGCAUGGUUGUCGUCAGCUCGUGUCGUGAGAUGUUGGGUUAAGUCCCGCAACGAGCGCAACCCUUAAGCUUAGUUGCCAUCAUUAAGUUGGGCACUCUAAGUUGACUGCCGGUGACAAACCGGAGGAAGGUGGGGAUGACGUCAAAUCAUCAUGCCCCUUAUGAUUUGGGCUACACACGUGCUACAAUGGACAAUACAAAGGGCAGCUAAACCGCGAGGUCAAGCAAAUCCCAUAAAGUUGUUCUCAGUUCGGAUUGUAGUCUGCAACUCGACUACA
rnacentral:rRNA from 1 species